rnacentral:rRNA from 1 species
AUUGAACGCUGGCGGCAGGCCUAACACAUGCAAGUCGAACGAGUGGCGGACGGGUGAGUAAUGUCUGGGAAACUGCCUGAUGGAGGGGGAUAACUCCUGGAGACGGUAUCUAAUACCGCAUACCAUCAGAUGUGCGCCGAUGGGAUUAGCUAGUAGGUGGGGGAACGGCUCACCUAGGCGACGAUUCCUAGCUGGUCUGAGAGGAUGACCAGCCACACUGGAACUGAGACACGGUCCAGACUCCUACGGGAGGCAGCAGUGGGGAAUAUUGCACAAUGGGCGCAAGCCUGAUGCAGCCAUGCCGCGUGUAUGAAGAAGGCCUUCGGGUUGUAAAGUACUUUCAGCGGGGAGGCGUUACCCGCAGAAGAAGCACCGGCUAACUCCGUGCCAGCAGCCGCGGUAAUAC